UUUGUCUUUGUUCAUUAGGUCUCGCUGCAUUAGGAUCACUGCUGUGCAGGACAGGGCUAUGCACAGCAUGGUCAGCCCUGAGCAAAUGACCUGAGGAAGGGCACAACUCUGUCACGUAGCAGGGAAGAGGGAAUUUCUGCUCAACAAAGAAGCUAUGAGGAAGAUUCACCAUUAGGAAAAGACACUCACUUGCUGGAAAUAUUUUCUGUCAAGAAGUCACCACCACUUCUACUUCAUAGAAGGCAAUAUUAACCACCACUCUCUAUAUUUUUCACUUUUCCAUGUAUGUUUUUUUUUCUAAUGCUUCAUGUGUUGCUUGUCAGCUGUGGGGAUCUCCUUGGAACCAGUGGUUUCCCUGGAUGCACUCUGUGAAGUCCUUGCAACUCCCUGACCAUCGAUUAUGGCAAAACUAUGCCAAUGUGUGCAUCCUGGGGCAGGGGGAAAAGAAUGGAGAAGUUUCCAGAGCAGCUGCACAGGAUGACUGUAAACAGGAUUUGUUUACUCUUGCCUGCCAAAUGCAGGUCUGGAAGAGCUGUGUUCCUUGCUGGACUGUGACCCUGCCUUGCCAUAACCGAUACUGAUUUGGCAUCACAAAACCCAGAAGAGGUUAUCCAGUCAAGGUGAUUGCGUCUGGAGAAAUCUAAACAAAUUCUGUAUUUCUGGGAAUUAUCACUCCAUU